GGUGUAAAGACAGUGUGAAAGGAUACAGGAAGACUUAAAGUCCGGGUUUAUGUUUUCUCUUUGCAGAAGAUGUAGAGGAGCUGAAUGCUGGAGAGUGAUUGAAGGAGUGAAGCUGAGCCCUGGAUGGAGGGAUCUGCUGGAGGAAAGGAGAGAGAGAGGAUGCGGUCUCUUAAAGCCCCUGCCACCGGUGUCCUUGCCAGCCUCCAUCAAUCGCCCGGCGAUGGGCGGAACAGAGGAAGAGAGGGGCGAUAGAUGAAGUGAAAACUUUUCGAGGUAUGUAGAGUGUCGCCAGCCGGCCGGGGCGAUGGGGAAGAGUUGCCCGGCCUUCUGUAAUGGGAGCGAGAGAGAGUGUGAAGGGAGAGCGGGCGCUGAUAGAUAUUGAUAGAGAUUUUAAUGAAUGUUCAGGAGAGAUGGCACCUAAAGCGCUCCUCUGGUAAUGCAGUGUGACAGUGUAUUUGUACUAAUAACCCCUAAAAGUGGUGAUAAAAUACUGUGGGCUCCUACUGGAGCUGUGAUGGAUGUGAUGUGAGUAAUUAAACUCCAUUAGGAUGGGACUUCACUUACCCAGGGAUGUGUGUGUGUGUGUGUGUGUGUGCGUGUGCGUGUGUGUGCGUGUGCGCCAGGGCAGUGCCGG
rnacentral:lncRNA from 1 species